CGCCAAUGGGGAUCUGCCGGACAGACUGAACAGCUGACUGGGGGGCACAAAGCCAAAGGAGAAUGAUAAGGGGAGAGAGUAAGAAAGCAAUGAGAUACACAUGUCUUGACUGCUUCUCUUCAUGCUGAAAUCCUGGGGGAAAGAAGUGCUAAAUCAGUUGAGGACAUGGGAACAUUUAUUCUGGCCUCACCUCCAACACAGGAGACCACAUUUCAACAAAAGUUUUGGGGGAGAAAACAUCGAACUGUAGCAUAUACAUACUCGGCAAUUAUUCCAAAUAAUACAAAAUGAUUUACCAAAUAGGAAGAAAUUUGGGUACAGAGACAGACAAGCACCAAGAGAAGAUGAUGUGAAGAAGCACAGCGAGAACACCAUGUGAAAAUGGAGGACUGGAAUGAAGCAUCUACAAGCCAGGAAAUGUCUGAGGCUACCAGAAGCCAGGAGAGAGGCCUGGAACAGAUCCUGCACUAGAACCUUCAAAGAGAGCAUGGUCCUGCUGACAUGUUGAUUUUGGACUUCUGGCCUCCAGAGCUGUGAGAAUAAAUUUCAGUUGUUUUAAGCCAUCCAGUUUUUGGUACCUUAUUAUGGCAGCCCUAGCAAACUAAUAUAGACUCCGAUAAGAAUUCAACUGAUAUAUGCCAUGAAAUUUAGUAUAUCAUCAGGACUGGGAGAAACUGGUAACUUUAUAGGUGAAUAUGAAAGAUGAUAGGGAUAACUG
rnacentral:lncRNA from 1 species